GCCUAUACAUGCAAGNUUGNAGCGCUGNAAGGUUGGUACUUGNUACCAACUGGNAUGAGCAGCGNAACGGGUGNAGUAACGCGUGGGGAAUCUGCCUUUGAGCGGGGGACAACAUUUGGAAACGAAUGCUAAUACCGCAUAAAAACUUUAAACACAAGUUUUAAGUUUGAAAGAUGCAAUUGCAUCACUCAAAGAUGAUCCCGCGUUGUAUUAGCUAGUUGGUGAGGUAAAGGCUCACCAAGGCGAUGAUACAUAGCCGACCUGAGAGGGUGAUCGGCCACUGGGGGGACUGAGAC
rnacentral:rRNA from 1 species